rnacentral:rRNA from 1 species
CUUAGCUGCGCGGGUCCGACCUUUCACACUUGUUUAUUGUGCCACUUGCUUUCCGGCUGCGCGAGCAGCUGGGAAGGAUAUAACUCUAAGAUUUAUUCUUUAUUACAACUAGUCAUGAAAUUUUACAAAUAAAAUAUUCAAAACUUUCAACAACGGAUCUCUUGGUUCUCGCAACGAUGAAGAACGCAGCGAAAUGCGAUACGUAAUAUGAAUUGCAGGUUUUCGUGAAUCAUCGAAUCUUUGAACGCACAUUGCGCCUUUUGGUAUUCCAGAAGGCAUGCCUGUUUGAGCGUCAUUUCUUUCUCACGUGCCUUUUUGGGCAUGUGGUAUUGAGUGGUACUCUGUCCGGGUUAGCUUGAAAUAGACGUGGUGCGAGCGGUCGUCGCGACAGCUGCUGGAUAAUGUAUUAGGUUCUGCCAACUCGUUAGCCAACAGAAGAAGCGAUGUCCACAGUCUCCACCGACAUCUCUCAAAGUUUGACCUCAAAUCAGGUAGGACUACCCGC